rnacentral:rRNA from 1 species
UACAGAGGUCUCAAGCGUUGUUCGGAUUCAUUGGGCGUAAAGGGUGCGUAGGUGGCGGGGUAAGUCAGGUGUGAAAUUUCGGAGCUUAACUCCGAAACUGCAUUUGAUACUGCCUUGCUUGAGGACUGGAGAGGAGACUGGAAUUCACGGUGUAGCAGUGAAAUGCGUAGAUAUCGUGAGGAAGACCAGUGGCGAAGGCGGGUCUCUGGGCAAUUCCUGACGCUGAGGCGCGAAAGCGUGGGGAGCAAACGGG